ensembl:lncRNA
CUGCGGGGAGCGGGGACGCCCGCAACUCUAGGGAGACGGCCGGCGGGGCGCCGGGGCAGGCACCUGCCCAGCGGGUCUCGGAGACGGGGCGGGACCCGGCUUACCCAGCAUUAGCAGCAGCGACAGCGGCGCGGGGCCGGGGGCGCCCAUACUGCGCGGCGGGCUCUGGGGCGGCUCCGGACGGCGGCGCGGGCUCUGGGGGGCCGAGGGCGAGGGGGGCGCAUGCCCGGGUGGGAGCAGGAAGUGGAGCGGCGAGGCGUGGGUGCGCAGAGCCGAGAGGAGCCGAGCGGGAAAGGCCAGGUCCCCUCCUCCUCGCCUCCUCCCGCCGCUCUCCCUCCCGCCCUCCACGGCUCAAGGGACCAUUCCGGCCGCGCCCCAGCUCCGGGCCCCGCCCAAGCCCGGGUCAGACUCUGGCGCCCAGGCCUCCAGCCAGCCCAGGCUCCGCCCCGAUCCCCCGCGGGGGCCGGAGGGACCCCGCGAGCUCCGCCCCGGCUGCUGGUGGAGUGAGCCGGCCUGGCCUUGGCUCCCCCAGUCCCGCCCUGCCUGGGGCCCAACGCUCUAGGCCCGCACGAAAGGUCGGUCCCGGAGAGAGGGGUUAGGGCGCCCGGGGCGGCUCAGUGGGCUGUGGCCACGCACUCAGAAGCCAGCAUCUGUUUCCUCGGGGCUGCUAGUCCCUCUGCAAACCCCACGGAUUUCAGUGCGGAGCGGGUGGAACCCAGGAGUUCCCGCACCUGGGAGUUAGGGCCAAGAGGUGUUCACGGAGUCGCCAGGAACACCACAGCCAGCCACCCUAGAGAAGCCAGCCAGGCUGAGAGGAUUAUGUGGAACCUUGAGAGAAUUAGAGGCCCGGCCCUGACCGCCAGGACUGCCGAGUAGGCUGUGCCUUCUCACUUGGACCUAUCCACAUGGAUUCUCCAGAUCCACUCUCUCUCUCCAAACUGUCCACAGGCCUUGGGGAGCCAUGUGAAAACCGGAAGUUACAGGGAGACUUUGGAGGAAAACUACUUUCCUUUUAGCUGAGUGGAUUUAAUGCCUUCUCUAUACUUAAGGUUUAAGAGAUGUUAAAAUCAUAAUAGAUGCUAUUUAUGGAAUACUUACAUAAUGAGGCCCUCUUGGGUAUUAUUUCUAGUCUUUACUAUUUUACAAGAUGAUGUCUUUUGACAGCAGAUAAACCUGAGGCUCAGAAGGGUUAAGUAUCUUGCCCGAGGCCACACAGCUUUUCAUUGGCUGAGAUGUGAUUUGAGCCCAGGCCUCCUGUCCCCAAAUCUUCCUACACCCCACCAUCUCCCCUUCCAAGCCUCCCCACCCUGUAAGCUCAUUCAUGCAACAAAUACUGACUGGGCCAGACCCUGUGUACUGGCAAUGCCCUAGUAAAACAGACGGGCAGGUGCCCUUCUCUCGGGGAAUGUAAUCACUGUCAUAUAACCAUCCCACAGCACAAGCAUUAGGAAGGAGUUCUGGAAGCUAAGGGACCACCCGUCACCCUGUGUCUUGGGGCUGGGAAGGAACUGGGGGCGGACAGGAGUGGGAGACCAGGCUGGUGUCCUCAGAGGCUGAGGCGGAAGGAGGACUGAAGGAAGACGCAACUUCUUCCAAGAGCCCCUCCCGAAAUUGCUUUCCGGAGGUGGCCAGCAGAGGACGCCCGUGGUCCAAGAUGGACUUAGUGCGGCGCGGUUUAUGUAACUGGGAAAGCUGGGGGAGGAGAGCCGAUGCCAGGCACGAGGUGCGUCACAUUCACAGCCACAUGUACCCACUGUCACCGAGGGAGCUUCACGCAGAAGGGCGUCACGCGCACACGCAGCAGAACGGUGGGCAAACACUCGGAUGCUGCACAGGGGGAACCUGUGUGGACGGAACAGCACUGGGCACCUAGGCUGAGCAGAGAAGGGAGGAAAAGAGCCUUCCUCCAGCCUCAGGCCAGACUAGACAUGGGGGAGGAGGGAGGAAACUGAGGCCCAGAGAGGCAUAGGUGCAGCAGUGGCCCUGAGGACGCAGGCACCUGCCUGGGCUGUAUUGUCACUGUAUUGUCACCAGUGCCCACCCACCUCCAUGUACUACCAGGUGUGGGCAUGCGUCAAACACCAGACUGUUUCAUAUGCUUAUUUAAUUCAUUUCACCUCCAGGUGACAUAUGUGCAAGGCAUUGAGGUGUUGGGGGUAUCAUUAAAGACAAUUAAGACCCACGCGGUGCCCCAACCAGGUUAUAAUCUGACUGAGAUGUCACCCACUGCAGUCACAACCAAGGAGACAUGGCCCUUGAUCAAAGACAGUACCGUUAAAGUGUCC